rnacentral:rRNA from 1 species
UUUCGCAAUGCCCGAAAGGGUGACGAAGCGACGCCGCGUGUGGGAAGAAGGCCUUCGGGUUGUAAACCACUGUCGGGAGUUAGGAAAUGCAGGUGCGUUAAUAGCGCACUUGCUUGACUAAGGCUCCAGAGGAAGCCACGGCUAACUCUGUGCCAGCAGCCGCGGUAAUACAGAGGCGGCAAGCGUUGUUCGGAAUUAUUGGGCGUAAAGAGCACGUAGGCGGCCUUGCAAGUCAGUUGUGAAAGCCUUCCGCUUAACGGAAGAACGGCAUCUGAUACUACAGGGCUUGAGUACGGGAGGGGAGAGUGGAACUUCUGGUGGAGCGGUGAAAUGCGUAGAUACCAGAAGGAACGCCGGCGGCGAAAGCGACUCUCUGGUCCGAAACUGGCGCUGAGUGUGCGAAAGCUAGGGGAGCAAACGGGAUUAGAUACCCCGGUAGUCCUAGCCGUAAACGAUGGGCACUAAGUAGAGGGGUUUU